rnacentral:rRNA from 1 species
GACGAACGCUGGCGGCGUGCUUAACACAUGCAAGUCGAGCGGUAAGGCCCUUUCGGGGGUACACGAGCGGCGAACGGGUGAGUAACACGUGGGUGACCUGCCCUUAGCUCUGGGAUAAGCCUGGGAAACCGGGUCUAAUACCGGAUAUGACUCCGCGGCGCAUGUUGUGGGGUGGAAAGCCUUGUGCGGCUGGAGAUGGGCCCGCGGCCUAUCAGCUUGUUGGUGGGGUGAUGGCCUACCAAGGCGACGACGGGUAGCCGGCCUGAGAGGGCGACCGGCCACACUGGGACUGAGACACGGCCCAGACUCCUACGGGAGGCAGCAGUGGGGAAUAUUGCGCAAUGGGCGGAAGCCUGACGCAGCGACGCCGCGUGGGGAUGACGGCCU